GGGGGACCGCUCGGAGGUCCCGGCGGCCCUGGCGGCGGAGCGGCGGCGGCGGCCAGCAGCGGAGGCGGCACCGGCCACGGUGUGAGCUGCUUGGACGGACAGCCGGGCCAGUCCGGUUAUGGACCUUAUGGUGGCGCCGGAGGCCGCGGCGGCGGAAGGAACUGCUUAGAUGUGCGUUCGGGGCCCGCUGGUGUGAGCACGGUGAGAGCUCCCGCUGAUGCGAACACGGCGCAUGCAGCUGGCGGAGGUGCGCCAGGGGCUCCAGCGGGGUAUGCAGGAGCUGCGGGAGCGCCUGGGAAAGAGUGACCCCUGUUGGCAGGCUGAGAACACCCCGGUGCCACACAUGGCGUUGACAGUAUUUCUGCUGGCGUUCUAACCAUGCAUUAUUUAAAACAGAGCGCUAGCCAUCCGCUUUGGUGUAUGGGCGCGUAUAGUUUUAGAGACGAUGUACCGUGCCACCCUCCGGCUCUCUGUACGUCACUGAAGUCUGACGGUGCACUCUUCUCUGUUGUUGUUGGAUUGGUGGAAUGGCAUGGCUGACCGUCAAUAUCGUGAUCGCUUUCUGCACAUACACCGUGUAUGGCGUCUCAGUUCAGUGUAAAUGCACCUAAUACUUGCACUGUUGUAGACCUGACCAUCCCGCUGGCAAGCUUGCAAGCCGCAGAGGCACUUGAUGCGCAUCAAAUGGCCAUGCAGGCUGGUAAGACUGGCCUCGCGGUGUAUCGUGUACGUUAGAUACAAAAUAUAACGUAUUUGACUUUAGCUCAUUGCACACACUUUAGCUCAUUGCACGACGUGAAUGGCACAAAGGCGAUGAAUAUCACGCCGAAUAUGUCCGAAAUGCUGGGAUUCACCGGCAGCUGGGAAAUCGGAAACGGCGACCAACAAAUCUGCUGUCAUAAGACAUACCUUGGUAUGAAAUAGCCAAUUUCAUAUCCUAUUCCUGCCAUAUUAACACGUCAUGCUUUGCACCUAUGUCGACCAAUCAACCAUCAGUACGCAAAAGCUGAACCUUGGAAAAGCAAAAACAAAAUACCAACCUUGAUGACCUUGGGAUGUCACAGCAUAAGAACACGUCACAGCCUUAGUGUGCCAGUAACGUGUCGGCAUUGUUCGAGCCUGCCGCGUAACGUCAUCGAUAUUGUUAUAUUCAUAAUUUAAGAUGAUCUAAUUCUGCUGUUUUAGUAUAAUGAGGGUUAUUUUCUCCUCCAAAGAAGAUGAUUCAUGUACAGUGUGUUUGUGCAAAGCCAAAUAAAACCCGUGGCAAAACAAGG